rnacentral:rRNA from 1 species
GGAGGGAAGCGAAUGCAGCUGAAGUAGUUCUCUCCCAGGCUCAGGAGUGUUGCCUCGGCCUGCUGGCUGGCGGAAACCGUUAGGUGCCGUCGGUUGGACGACCGGGUGACUAGCACUCCUGGGGAGAGCUGGCCAACAACAGUUGCUUCUGGCCGACGAGGGGAGCUAAUUGCCGGCCGCGACUGAGGAGAGCAGUGCAGGCCCCCGGGUCACCUCUGUCCGUUUCACCGCUCCGGGGGCAGUGUUCGGUGACGAAUGUCUGCUCGGGUGGGGGGAUGUCCACUCCUUGUGCUGCAGUUGUUGGUGUCCAAAUGGCUGCAUCCGACCCGUCUUGAAACACGGACCAAGGAGUGCAACAUGCGUGCGAGUCUUGGGGUGGUAAACCCAUCGGCGCAAUGAAGGUGAAGGCAGAUCACACUGUCGACCGAUCCCAGGCUACGCUGUGGCGGGAUUUGAGUAAGAGCGUGCCUGUUGCGACCCGAAAGAUGGUGAACUAUGCCUGAAUAGGGUGAAGCCAGAGGAAACUCUGGUGGAAGCUCGUAGCGAUUCUGACGUGCAAAUCGAUCGUCAAAUUUG